CUGGGCUUGACAUGCCGCGAGUAGGAAACUGAAAGGGGACCGACCGGUUCAGUCCGGAAGCGGAACAGGUGCUGCAUGGCUGUCGUCAGCUCGUGCCGUGAGGUGUUGGGUUCAGUCCCGCAACGAGCGCAACCCUCGCCCUCUGUUGCCAUCGGGUCAAGCCGGGCACUCUGAGGGGACUGCCAGCGACAAGUUGGAGGAAGGAGAGGAUGACGUCAAGUCAUCAUGGCCCUUAUGCCCAGGGCCACACACGUGCAACAAUGGCCGGUACAGACGGAAGCGAGACCGAGAGGUGGAGCAAAUCCGAGAAAGCCGGUCCCAGUUCGGAUUGAGGUCUGCAACUCGACCUCAUGAAGUCGGAAUCGCUAGUAAUCGCGUAUCAGCACGACGCGGUGAAUACGUUCCCGGGCCUUGUACACACCGCCCGUCACACCACGAAAGUCUGUUGUACCUGAAGUCGGUGCCCCAACCGGAAACGGAGGGAGCCGCCCAAGGUAUGGCCGGUAAUUGGGG
rnacentral:rRNA from 1 species